CAGAGUAUCAAUUGGAGGGCAAGUCUGGUGCCAGCAGCCGCGGUAAUUCCAGCUCCAAUAGCGUAUAUUAAAGUUGUUGCAGUUAAGAAGCUCGUAGUUGAAUUUCUGCCUUGUCAUUAAUCUCGCUUCCGAGCGUUUUUUUAUUGACUUGGCAUCUUCUGGAUUUGGUGCCUUCGGGUACUAUUUUCCAGGAUUUACUUUGAGAAAACUAGAGUGUUUCAAACAGGCAUUCGCCUUGAAUACUACAGCAUGGAAUAAUGAAGUAGGACUUUGGUUCUAUUUUGUUGGUUAUUGAGCCAGAGUAAUGGUUAAUAGGAGCAGUCGGGGGCAUUCGUAUUUAACUGUCAGAGGUGAAAUUCUUAGAUUUGUUAAAGACGAACUACUGCGAAAGCAUUUGCCAAGGAUGUUUUCAUUAAUCAAGAACGAAAGUUAGGGGAUCGAAGACGAUCAGAUACCGUCGUAGUCCUA
rnacentral:rRNA from 1 species